rnacentral:rRNA from 1 species
UACGGGGGGGGCAAGCGUUGUUCGGAAUUACUGGGCGUAAAGGGCUCGUAGGCGGCCAACUAAGUCAGACGUGAAAUCCCUCGGCUUAACCGGGGAACUGCGUCUGAUACUGGAUGGCUUGAGUUCGGGAGAGGGAUGUGGAAUUCCAGGUGUAGCGGUGAAAUGCGUAGAUAUCGGGAGGAACACCAGUGGCGAAGGCGACUACCUGGCCUGUUCUUGACGCUGAGGCGCGAAAGCUAGGGGAGCAAACGGG